rnacentral:lncRNA from 1 species
GGAACCGGGGCUUUGUGCCCUCUUCGGCUUGGGGAGCAGCCGCAGCCCAGCCCUGCCCUGCCCUCAUACCGCCGCAGCACCAAACCUGUGGUGAGCGCUCACCUUGCCGCCAAGUGAGGCACAAGGGAGGGAAAGAUCUGUACAAAUUGCUGUUAAACCACAAAGCACAGGCAUAAGGGUCAUGCCUGACUGGACAUAAGGAGCUCAUUACAAAGUAGCAUUCUGUCUUCACAACUGUUUCUUUACUGGUAACCCCUUCCCUGAAUUUCGGAAGGACUUGCUGGAUUCCUCCCCGAGGCCUACGUGAGGAUUUCCAGAAGAGGAACAACGCAGGAAAGCAAACAGAAGUGUGAGGCAUGUGCACGUGGGAAGAAUCAUGUACAUUAAAGCUUCCUCAGGAAUAUUAACUGAUUUAAUUUAGUGUCCUGAUUUCACCUGGGAUAGAGUUUUCACCAAGCAUUGAAGACCAUCUUCAAAUACUGUCUAUGCAGGGCAGUAAACAGACAUUGCAGCUCCUUGGAUGGAAUUAAAGGAGUGAAGUCAGUUAAGUGACAUUAUAAUCAGGAUUCUGAGAUUACUUCUUUACAUGCAUUCACUUUUGUACUCUAUCAACUUGUUUUCAUUGUGAGUUUUGAAUGAACAGACAUGAAGGAGGAUUUUCUUCUUAAAAGAAGUGGAAAUCUGUUGGCUACUUCUGUUGGCAAGUCACAGGACAAAGCAGAGUGCCUGGGUAUCACGGCUCAGCAGAAGAAUGAAUAUGGAGGUUCCUGGUAUCUGUGUGUGAACAGACUGCCCAGGCCUUCAACUGGUGUACAGAUACGGGGACAAAUUUUGAAAACAGUUUCAUUGCAUUCCUUCUAGUGUUCUGAUUCCUUAUCUCUUUCCCUCCUGCCUACUGGCUUGAUUUUGCAUGCUUAUCUGUUACAUCCUUUUCCUGCCCAAUAAAAAAAACAUUUUUGGAGCCGGAUGUGCA